UACGGAGGGUGCAAGCGUUAUCCGGAUUCAUUGGGUUUAAAGGGUCCGUAGGCGGUUUAUUAAGUCAGUGGUGAAAGCCGACAGCUUAACUGUCGAACUGCCAUUGAUACUGGUAGACUUGAAUUAGGUUGAAGUAGCUAGAAUAUGUAGUGUAGCGGUGAAAUGCAUAGAUAUUACAUGGAAUACCAAUUGCGAAGGCAGGUUACUAAGUCUACAUUGACGCUGAGGGACGAAAGCGUGGGGAGCGAACAGG
rnacentral:rRNA from 1 species